AUUGAACGCUGGCGGCAGGCCUAACACAUGCAAGUCGAACGGUAGCACAGAGAGCCUGCUCUCGGGUGACGAGUGGCGGACGGGUGAGUAAUGUCUGGGAAACUGCCCGAUGGAGGGGGAUAACUACUGGAAACGGUAGCUAAUACCGCAUAACGUCGCAAGACCAAAGUGAGGGACCUUCGGGCCUCACACCAUCGGAUGUGCCCAGAUGGGAUUAGCUAGUAGGUGGGGUAAUGGCUCUCCUAGGCGACGAUCCCUAGCUGGUCUGAGAGGAUGACCGGCCACACUGGAACUGAGACACGGUCCAGACUCCUACGGGAGGCAGCAGUGGGGAAUAUUGGACAAUGGGCGCAAGCCUGAUGCAGCCAUGCCGCGUGUAUGAAGAAGGCCUUCGGGUUGUAAAGUACUUUCAGCGGGGAGGAAGGCGGUGAAGUUAAUAACUUCACCGAUUGACGUUACCCGCAGAAGAAGCACCGGCUAACUCCGUGCCAGCCGCCGCCGUAA
rnacentral:rRNA from 1 species